GUCGAACGGGACUAUACGAGAUGAAGUUUUCGGAUGGAAUUUUGUAUAGUUCAGUGGCGGACGGGUGAGUAACACGUGAGCAACCUGCCUUCGAGAGGGGAAUAACGGCUGGAAACGGUCGCUAAUACCGCAUAACAUACAGGAGGGACAUCCCUUUUGUAUCAAAGAUUUAUCGCUCGAAGAUGGGCUCGCGUCCGAUUAGGUAGUUGGUGAGGUAACGGCCCACCAAGCCGACGAUCGGUAGCCGGACUGAGAGGUUGAACGGCCACAUUGGGACUGAGACACGGCCCAGACUCCUACGGGAGGCAGCAGUGGGGGAUAUUGCACAAUGGGGGAAACCCUGAUGCAGCGACGCCGCGUGUGGGAAGACGGUCCUCUGGAUUGUAAACCACUGUCCCCAGGGACGAAGAUGACGGUACCUGGGGAGGAAGCUCCGGCUAACUACGUGCCAGCAGCCGCGGUAAUACGUAGGGAGCGAGCGUUGUCCGGAAUUACUGGGUGUAAAGGGAGCGUAGGCGGGACUGCAAGUUGGGUGUCAAAUCUACCGGCUCAACCGGUAGCCGCACUCAAAACUGCAGUUCUUGAGUGAAGUAGAGGCAGGCGGAAUUCCUAGUGUAGCGGUGAAAUGCGUAGAUAUUAGGAGGAACACCAGUGGCGAAGGCGGCCUGCUGGGCUUUUACUGACGCUGAGGCUCGAAAGUGUGGGGAGCAAACAGGAUUAGAUACCCUGGUAGUCCACACCGUAAACGAUGAUCACUAGGUGUGGGGGGUCUGACCCCUUCCGUGCC
rnacentral:rRNA from 1 species